rnacentral:tRNA from 1 species
GGGGAGCUGGCCGAGCGGUCAAAGGCAGCAGACUGUAAAUCUGCCGACGUAUGUCUACGGAGGUUCGAAUCCUUCGCUCCCCACAA